UACGUAGGCAGCGAGCGUUGUUCGGAGUUACUGGGCGUAAAGGGUGUGUAGGCGGAUCGUUAAGUCGGGGGUGAAAUCCUGGAGCUCAACUCCAGAACUGCCUUUGAUACUGGAGAGCUUGAGUCCGGAAGAGGUGAGUGGAACUCCGAGUGUAGAGGUGAAAUUCGUAGAUAUUCGGAAGAACACCAGUGGCGAAGGCGGCUCACUGGUCCGGUACUGACGCUGAGGUGCGAAAGCGUGGGGAGCAAACAGG
rnacentral:rRNA from 1 species